AAUGGGAGAAUUAAUGGUGUAUGUGAAUGGUUUGUGUUAUUGGGAAAAAUAUACAGAAAAAAAGUGUCUUAAAGCAAAGGAGGUGGAAUUGAUUUAAUUAUUAGUUUGUAAAAAGGAGGUGGAAGUUUAUAAGUUAUAGUUCUUCCCACUCCUUUUCGAGCA